rnacentral:rRNA from 1 species
UACAGAGGUCUCAAGCGUUGUUCGGAUUUACUGGGCGUAAAGGGCGCGUAGGCGGUCAGCACAAGUCAGUUGUGAAAUCUCCGGGCUUAACUCGGAAAGGUCAACUGAUACUGUGCGACUAGAGUGCGGAAGGGGCAACUGGAAUUCUCGGUGUAGCGGUGAAAUGCGUAGAUAUCGUAAGGAAGACCAGUGGCGAAGGCGGGUCUCUGGACAGUUCCUGACGCUGAGGCACGAAGGCCAGGGGAGCAAACGGG